CAGUAGCCGCGGGAAUACGGAGGAUCCAAGCGUUAUCCGGAAUCAUUGGGUUUAAAGGGUCCGUAGGCGGUCUUGUAAGUCAGUGGUGAAAGCCCAUCGCUCAACGGUGGAACGGCCAUUGAUACUGCAGGACUUGAAUUAUUGGGAAGUAACUAGAAUAUGUAGUGUAGCGGUGAAAUGCUUAGAGAUUACAUGGAAUACCAAUUGCGAAGGAAGGUUACUACCAAUUGAUUGACGCUGAUGGACGAAAGCGUGGGUAGCGAACAGGAUUAGAUACCCCUGUAGUCCCUGUCUCUUAUAC
rnacentral:rRNA from 1 species